UAUAAUUAAAUAAAAUGGCAAAAAAUAAAGAAAUUAAAAAUAAAAAAAUAGUAUUUCAGGUUUAACGGCAGUUGUUGCAUGUCGGACGGUAAGAUUUCAUAUUUGACGUAAGAUAUUGCAUGUUUUGGAUAAAGCCAAAAUAACGAAUAUUUCGGAAUAUUAUCGUCUGUUUCAUGUUUGACGUCGAAGUUGCGAACUUGACGUGAUAAGUUGCAUAUUUGGCAUCAAGUGUUGUAAGUAUCAUGUUUAACGUCAGUUGUUGCAUGUCUGACAGUAGGAUUUCAUAUUUGACGUACGAUGUUGCAUGUUUUGGAUAAAGCCAAAAUAAAGAAUAUUUCACAAUAUUCUCGUCCGUUUCAUGUUUGACGUCGAAGUUGCGAACUUGACGUGAUAAGUUACAUAUUGGGCGUGAAGUGUUGCAAGUUUCAUGUUUAAUGUCAGUUGUUGUAUAUCUGACGUCUCGAUUGCAUGUUUGACGUCAGAUGUUGCAUGUUUUGGAUAAAGCCAAAAUGAAGAAUAUUUCGGAAUAUUCUCGUCCAUUUCAUGUUUGACGUCGAAGUUGCGAACUUGACGUGAUAAGUUACAUAUUUGGCGUGAAGUGUUGCAAGUUGCAUGUUUAAUAUCAGUUGUUGCAUAUCCGACGUUACAAUUGCAUGUUUGACGUUAGAGGUUGCAUGUCUUGAAUAACGGCAAAAUAAAGAAUAUUCUAGAAUAAUCUCGUCUGUUUCAUGUUUGACGUCGAAGUUGCGAACUUGACGUGAUAUGUUGCAUAUUUCGCGUGAAGGGUUGCAAGUUGCAUGUUUAACGUCAGUUAUUGCAUAUCUGACGACUGGAUUUCAUAUUUGACGUAAGAUGUUGCAUGUGUUGUAUAAAGCCAAAAUAAAGAAUAUUCUAGAAUAUUCUCGUCCGUUUUAUGUUUGACGUCCAUGUUGCGAACUUGACGUGAUAAGUCGUAUAUUUCACGUGAAGUAUUGCACGUUUCAUGUUUAACGUCAGUUGUUGCAUAUCUGACUGUAGGAUUUCAUAUUUGACGUACGAUGUUGCAUGUUUUGGAUAAAGCUAAAAUAAAGAAUAUUUCAGAAUAUUCUCGUCUGUUUCAUGUUUGACGUUGAAGUUGCGAAUUUGACGUGAUAAGUUGCAUAUUUGGCGUCAAGUGUUGUAAGUAUCAUGUUUAACGUCAGUUGUUCCAUGUCUGACGGUAGGAUUUCAUAUUUGACGCACGAUGUUGCAUGUUUUGGAUGAAGCCAAAAUAAAGAAUAUUUCGGAAUAUUCUCGUCCGUUUCAUGUUUGACGUCGAAGUUGCGAACAUGACGUGAUAAGUUGCAUAUUUGGCGUCAAGUGUUGUAAGUAUCAUGUUUAACGUCAGUUGUUGCAUUCUGACGGUAGGAUUUCAUAUUUGACGCACGAUGUUGCAUGUUUUGGAUAAAGCCAAAAUAAAGAAUAUUCCAAAAUAUUCUCGUCCGUUUCAUGUUUGACGUCAAAGUUGCGAACUUGACGUGAUAAGUUACAUAUUUGGCGUGAAGUGCUGCAAGUUUCAUGUUUAACGUCAGUUGUUGCAUAUUUGACGUCUCGAUUGCAUGUUUGACGUUAGAUGUUGCAUGUUUUGGAUAAAGCCAAAAUAAAAAAUAUUUCAGAAUAUUCUCGUCUGUUUCAUGUUUGACGACGAAGUUACCAACUUGACGUGAUAAGUUACAUAUUGGGCGUGAAGUGUUGCAAGUUUCAUGUUUAAUGUCAGUUGUUGCAUAUCUGAGGUCCCGAUUGCAUGUUUGACGUUAGAUGUUGCAUGUUUUGGAUACAGCCAAAAUAAAGAAUAUUUCGAAAUAUUCUUGUCCGUUUAAUGUUUGACGUCGAAUUUGCGAACUUGACGUGAUAGGUUACAUAUUUGGCGUGAAGUGUUGCAAGUUUCAUGUUUAACGUCAGUUAUUGCAUAUCCGACGUCUCGAUUGCAUGGUUGACGUUAGAUGUUGCAUGUUUUGGAUAAAGCCAAAAUAAAGAAUACUCCGGAAUAUUCUCGUCCGUUUCAUGUUUGACGUCGAAGUUGCGAACUUGACGUGAUAGGUUACAUAUUUGGCGUGAAGUGUUACAAGUUUUAUGUUUAACGUCAUUUGUUGCAUAUCCGACGUCUCGAUUGCAUGUUUGACGUUUGAUGUUGCAUGUUUUGGAUAAAGUUAAAAUAAAGAAUAUUUUGGAAUAUUGUCGUCCGUUUCAUGUUUGACGUCGAAGUUGCGAACUUGACGUGAUAAGUGUUGUGCAAAUUUUAAUGUACUCGCAAGCGCACGAAUCUAUUGUAGUAUAGAUCUAUGGUGACGAGUGUCGAUCCCACGAGGAGUAUUCUUUAUUGAAGUUGAUGUUGCGAACUUGACGUGAUAGGUUACAUAUUUGGCGUGAAGUGUUACAAGUUUUAUGUUUAACGUCAUUUGUUGCAUAUCCGACGUCUCGAUUGCAUGUUUGACGUUUGAUGUUGCAUGUUUUGGAUAAAGUUAAAAUAAAGAAUAUUUUGGAAUAUUGUCGUCCGUUUCAUGUUUGACGUCGAAGUUGCGAACUUGACGUGAUAAGUGUUGUGCAAAUUUUAAUGUACUCGCAAGCGCACGAAUCUAUUGUAGUAUAGAUCUAUGGUGACGAGUGUCGAUCCCACGAGGAGGUGGAUUUUAAUUGUGUAUAGAAUUAAUUUUGUAAAUGGGUUGUUGGAUUUAUGGUGGAAAUGAUUUGGUAUAUGCUAAAACUUAAAUUAAAAUGGCGAGAAUAAAUUCUAAAAUUGGAAUUGCAAUGGCGAGAAUAAAUUGAAGAUAAUUCUAUUGAAAUGACGUACUUGGGUAUCUGGAUUCGUAUCAACAUGCAUCAUGGGCUAAAUAAUCCGUAUUAAUGCCAAUUAAAUCAUGAGGGGGGAAUCCACACCUCAUGAACCACACUCUAAUCAAUAUGGUGCUAAGGGCUUAUCGUGCCAAAUAAUAAUAACCUUGUACUAGAGGGCCGGUGAAACCAAGGCGGUACUAGACAAGAAUAUUAUUAUUUGUCGACGAGAAGUCAAAACAUCCACAAAAACUAGAGGGGAAGAGAAAAUAAAUUUACCAAAUAAAGCCCAUGACACAUGUUGAGACUUCACCUUCAACCCAAGAUUGAAAGAAAAUUAGCCACUCAUAAUUGAACUAGGGGCAAAAUGGGAAUUUAUUAAAAUACGAAGAAAAUACAAGAUGGAGAGGGAAUUACAGAAAAUGGAUCCGACAAAUGGAUUCAGAGAUCUCAAAUUAGGGGGGGGAGGCCCCCUUUUUAUAGAUACAUGGAGUAAAUCAUGGCCAUCGGAUUAAAAACAGUUUGGACGCUCAGGAUUGCGCCACGUCAUCAGUCAACAGUCCACGUUUGACCACGCGGAUGAACAGUAACACGGUUUGACCCGACUUUGAACAGUAACUCGGUUUGACCCGGAUGAACAGUAAUGCGGUUUGGUUGAAAAUAAUCCUGUGUGAUGCAUGCACCGUACGCGAGAUUUUUCGUCCACUGAUAUGCUGCCACGUCACCAUCAACAGUACAUAAGAAUUUUAGUCCAACAGGAUCGUGACACCUCAUCAGUCAAUGCCACAUCAUCGGUCAAUGCCACGUCAUCAUCCGUCUAUGUGAACAGUGUCGUGAACAGUAACGUAUACAGUACCGUACACGUGAAUAAUACCGUACAUGUGAAUAGUGCUAUUUUUCCUUUUAUGCUCCUCCUAAGGUUUUCGACCGUCCUGAGUUCAAAAGUGAUGUCCGUUUUGCCGUCUGAUCUCUCCUUUAUUGUGAAAUGACUAUAAUGCCCCUAAAAUACAUAAAAUACUUAAUUAAAAUAAAACACAUGUAAUUAAAUCACAAGAAGGUUAAAUAUAUAAAAGUAAGGGUUGUUAGUAAGACUUAAAAUGUAAAAUGACGGUUUUCUCCUUUAUAAAUAUGCAUUUUCUAAUACUCAACACACCCCCAACCAGCUUAUUGCUAGUCCCUAGCAAAUAAAGCGAAAACAAAAUUCAAAUUCAAAAUAAUUUUUUUUUUUGUUUUAAUAGAAACACUCGUAUUUAUUCCAUCAGAUUAAUGAUAACACUCAAAUAAAAGUAUAAGCAUUAUCUCCAGUCUAAAGCAACAUCACACCCACAUCAACCAUCCACAUGAAUUAGCCCAGUAGACUUUGUUUUAGCUACUCUCAAGAAUGACAUGUCAAACCCCAAAAUCUCACUGGAAGUAGUGACACUCUCACAAAUAAAUUAAUCCCAAUAAAAAUAGUCACUCCAAUGAAUGGUAAUUGAGAGAGAAAAUAGUAAAGAAGUGAUAUCACAUGCUCUCACCAAGAUGAAAUAAAUAUGCCCUCAGCUUAGAAAUAAUACGAUCUCAAGUCAAAUAAAAUGUUAGUCAACCCACUUUAUUU
rnacentral:lncRNA from 1 species